GUGAGGAAUAUUGGACAAUGGGCGCAAGCCUGAUCCAGCCAUGCCGCGUGCAGGAAGAAGCAUCUAUGGUGUGUAAACUGCUUUUGUACGGGAAGAAACACUCCCUCGUGAGGGAGCUUGACGGUACCGUAAGAAUAAGGAUCGGCUAACUCCGUGCCAGCAGCCGCGGUAAUACGGAGGAUCCAAGCGUUAUCCGGAAUCAUUGGGUUUAAAGGGUCCGUAGGCGGUUUGGUAAGUCAGUGGUGAAAGCCCAUCGCUUAACGAUGGAACGGCCAUUGAUACUGCCAGACUUGAAUUACAAGGAAGUAACUAGAAUAUGUAGUGUAGCGGUGAAAUGCAUAGAUAUUACAUGGAAUACCAAUUGCGAAGGCAGGUUACUACUUGUUGAUUGACGCUGAUGGACGAAAGCGUGGGGAGCGAACAGGAUUAGAAACCCCUGUAGUCC
rnacentral:rRNA from 1 species